UACGGAGGGUGCAAGCGUUAAUCGGAAUUACUGGGCGUAAAGCGUGCGCAGGCGGUUUGUUAAGUCCGUUGUGAAAGCCCCGAGCUCAACUUGGGAAUUGCAGUGGAUACUGGCAGGCUGGAGUACGGUAGAGGAAGGUGGAAUUCCCGGUGUAGCAGUGAAAAAGCGUAGAUAUCGGGAGGAACACCAGUGGCGAAGGCGGCCUUCUGGACCAGUACUGACGCUCAUGCACGAAAGCGUGGGGAGCAAACAGG
rnacentral:rRNA from 1 species